rnacentral:rRNA from 1 species
GACGAACGCUGGCGGCGUGCCUAAUACAUGCAAGUUAAGCGAUGAAGAUUGGUGCUUGCACCAAUUUGAAGAGCAGCGAACGGGUGAGUAACGCGUGGGGAAUCUGCCUUUGAGCGGGGGACAACAUUUGGAAACGAAUGCUAAUACCGCAUAACAACUUUAAACAUAAGUUUUAAGUUUGAAAGAUGCAAUUGCAUCACUCAAAGAUGAUCCCGCGUUGUAUUAGCUAGUUGGUGAGGUAAAGGCUCACCAAGGCGAUGAUACAUAGCCGACCUGAGAGGGUGAUCGGCCACAUUGGGACUGAGACACGGCCCAAACUCCUACGGGAGGCAGCAGUAGGGAAUCUUCGGCAAUGGACGAAAGUCUGACCGAGCAACGCCGCGUGAGUGAAGAAGGUUUUCGGAUCGUAAAACUCUGUUGGUAGAGAAGAACGUUGGUGAGAGUGGAAAGCUCAUCAAGUGACGGUAACUACCCAGAAAGGGACGGCUAACUACGUG